CCUGCAACUCACUCAGCUUUGCACUACAGAGAGUCUCACCCACACUGUACCGGGGCCGCUCUCUACUGCCUCUUCUACCCCCGCCCCUCACUGAUGUCAUAGCCACGCCUUUCUCUUAAAGGAACAGUAUCGGCAAAAAGACAUCCCCAUGGAAAAACAUAAAAGUGGAGCAGAGACAUUGGAAAUGGACAGGCCUGGUCAGUGUACGGAGAGAUGGGAAUGAUCCGGAAUGUCUGUGUGCGCAAUGGGAAGGAAUUGGAAUCUGAUGAUAUAGAAGGUUAGAGAUGGAAGAGAUCAGGGAAGAGAUACAGAAGAGAUUCUGGCUGAGGAACAGCCCAGAACAAGAUGGAAGAGAUCAGGGAAGAGAUACAGAAGGGAUUCUGGGUGAGGAACAGUCCAGAACAAGAUGGAGAAGAUGAGGAGAGUUACAGUCAUAUGAAAAAGUUUGGGAACCCCUCUUAAUUCUUUGGAGUUUUGUUUAUCAAGUAGCA